rnacentral:rRNA from 1 species
GACGAACGCUGGCGGCGUGCUUAACACAUGCAAGUCGAACGGAAAGGCCCUUCGGGGUACUCGAGUGGCGAACGGGUGAGUAACACGUGGGUGAUCUGCCCUGCACUUUGGGAUAAGCCUGGGAAACUGGGUCUAAUACCGGAUAGGACCACGGCAUUCAUGUGCUGUGGUGGAAAGCUUUUGCGGUGUGGGAUGGGCCCGCGGCCUAUCAGCUUGUUGGUGGGGUAAUGGCCUACCAAGGCGACGACGGGUAGCCGGCCUGAGAGGGUGACCGGCCACACUGGGACUGAGAUACGGCCCAGACUCCUACGGGAGGCAGCAGUGGGGAAUAUUGCACAAUGGGCGCAAGCCUGAUGCAGCGACGCCGCGUGAGGGAUGACGGCCUUCGGGUUGUAAACCUCUUUCGCCAGGGACGAAGCGCAAGUGACGGUACCUGGAGAAGAAGGACCGGCCAACUACGUG